AACGAACGCUGGCGGCAGGCCUAACACAUGCAAGUCGAGCGCGCCCUUCGGGGUUAGCGGCGGACGGGUGGGUAACGCGUGGGAACGUGCCCUUUUCUACGGAAUAGCCUCGGGAAACUGAGAGUAAUACCGUAUACGCCCUUUGGGGGAAAGAUUUAUCGGAAAAGGAUCGGCCCGCGUUGGAUUAGGUAGUGGGUGGGGUAAUGGCCUACCAAGCCGACGAUCCAUAGCUGGUUUGAGAGGAUGAUCAGCCACACUGGGACUGAGACACGGCCCAGACUCCUACGGGAGGCAGCAGUGGGGAAUCUUAGACAAUGGGGGCAACCCUGAUCUAGCCAUGCCGCGUGAGUGAUGAAGGCCUUAGGGUUGUAAAGCUCUUUCAGCUGGGAAGAUAAUGACGGUACCAGCAGAAGAAGCCCCGGCUAACUCCGUG
rnacentral:rRNA from 1 species